rnacentral:rRNA from 1 species
AGAGUUUGAUCCUGGCUCAGGACGAACGCUGGCGGCGUGCCUAACACAUGCAAGUCGAACGGAGAAUUUUAUUUCGGUAGAAUUCUUAGUGGCGAACGGGUGAGUAACGCGUAGGCAACCUACCCUUUAGACGGGGACAACAUUCCGAAAGGAGUGCUAAUACCGGAUGUGAUCAUCGUGCCGCAUGGCAGGAUGAAGAAAGAUGGCCUCUACAAGUAAGCUAUCGCUAAAGGAUGGGCCUGCGUCUGAUUAGCUAGUUGGUAGUGUAACGGACUACCAAGGCGAUGAUCAGUAGCCGGUCUGAGAGGAUGAACGGCCACAUUGGGACUGAGACACGGCCCAAACUCCUACGGGAGGCAGCAGUGGGGAAUCUUCCGCAAUGGACGAAAGUCUGACGGAGCAACGCCGCGUGAGUGAUGAAGGAUUUCGGUCUGUAAAGCUCUGUUGUUUAUGACGAACGUGCAGUGUGUGAACAAUGCAUUGCAAUGACGGUAGUAAACGAGGAAGCCACGGCUAACUACGUGCCAGCAGCCGCGGUAAUACGUAGGUGGCGAGCGUUGUCCGGAAUUAUUGGGCGUAAAGAGCAUGUAGGCGGCUUAAUAAGUCGAGCGUGAAAAUGCGGGGCUCAACCCCGUAUGGCGCUGGAAACUGUUAGGCUUGAGUGCAGGAGAGGAAAGGGGAAUUCCCAGUGUAGCGGUGAAAUGCGUAGAUAUUGGGAGGAACACCAGUGGCGAAGGCGCCUUUCUGGACUGUGUCUGACGCUGAGAUGCGAAAGCCAGGGUAGCGAACGGGAUUAGAUACCCCGGUAGUCCUGGCCGUAAACGAUGGGUACUAGGUGUAGGAGGUAUCGACCCCUUCUGUGCCGGAGUUAACGCAAUAAGUACCCCGCCUGGGGAGUACGGCCGCAAGGUUGAAACUCAAAGGAAUUGACGGGGGCCCGCACAAGCGGUGGAGUAUGUGGUUUAAUUCGACGCAACGCGAAGAACCUUACCAAGACUU